CGCAUGGACGAAGUCUGACGGAGCAACGCCGCGUGAGUGAUGAAGGCUUUCGGGUCGUAAAACUCUGUUGUUAGGGAAGAACAAGUGCUAGUUGAAUAAGCUGGCACCUUGACGGUACCUAACCAGAAAGCCACGGCUAACUACGUGCCAGCAGCCGCGGUAAUACGUAGGUGGCAAGCGUUAUCCGGAAUUAUUGGGCGUAAAGCGCGCGCAG
rnacentral:rRNA from 1 species